UCAAUGGGGUUGAUGGUGCUUGGAUUUCAAAGCAUACUAAACAAAAGAAAAUUUGUAAAAGUUGGAAAAUGAAAGAAUGGUGAAUGUGUAGAUAAAUAAAGGUGGUCACAUAGAUUUAAAAAGUGAAAAUAUGUUGGUAAACGAAAAAGCCAUGGCAAAAUUUGUAAGUGUGCAAAAUUUUCACUAAAAAUAAUAUGUAGGAAGCAGGGACCUACAACCACAAAGAAAAGAAUCAUUGUGAUGGUGAAUGAUAGACUACAAAGAGUAAAAUUUACAAUGUUUCUUUAGCUGGCAGGUUGAUAUGAAAUUACAACCUUUUUGUCCUCCACAAUGAAUUGCAGCUAAAGUCUUCACUUGGUGGUUUUGUCUUAAUUGCUACUGCUUUUUUCUAGGUCUCCUAAGGUCUUCACCUGAAUAUGGAUAGUUUAGUCACCAGCAAAUAAGUUUCUGAGUCCAAAAUUGAUUUUGAGACCCAUCCCUUUUGUGGUUCCCUAAUCUUUAGAAUUUCUGUCCGGAGUUUUUGGUCACUCUCCCAACUUUGUGUAGUCUUGUCCAGUAAAUGUUGGAGCUUUUUAACAUUUUAUAUCAGAAGUUUUGGAAGAUUCUGAUGAGAAUAUCCAGAUAUACAUAAAUCUUACUCCAUAUAAGCUUCUGUUUUUCAGGCAUCAACUGCCUUCUAGUUUUUACUUACCACUUGCCAGGUCCUUUCAAAUAUUGUAGAUUUUCUUUUUUAACUAAUUAUGUAAUUUUUAUUUGUUGAGGAUUAGUAUAAUCAAGCUAUACCACCUCUAGAGAGAAACAAGAAGCUCUAAUUAAAUAUUUUUAAGUAUAGCAUCUUAAUCUCUAUUAACAUUUGAGAUACAUAUGUAUAUGUUAAGUGUACUUUUUACUGGUUAUAAUAUUUAUCCUUGAACUUAUAAUAUUCAUAUUCAGUGUACAGUAUCAUCUAAUAGUUUACUACUGUAUGAAUAAUAUAAAAUCUUUUAGGUAUAUACUCCUACUUUUCUCCUUCAUGCCCUUUCUACUACUGUCAUAUUGAUCUUUCAGCCAGAGGUUUAUCCCUGUGUCUGUAGGCUCUCUGCAUUCUUUUUCUUACUUCCAUUGAAUAAAAUAGGUCUCUAUUGAGUCCUUCAUGUGGUGGCUUACAUAUAUCAGGGUUAGCAGUAGUUUGUUGAGUUUUUUUCUAUUGUUACAUCUCCUUCCCUCUAUUCAAUCCAUUGUGUGUUGGCUUACAUAUAUCAGGGUUGGCAAUGGUUUGUUGAGUUUUGUUCUUUUGUUACAUCUUUUGCCUCCUUUUUUUCUUAACUGCAUGCUUUUAAGAUCUCAUUUGACAUAUUGUACUUACCUGGAUAAUCCAGUUCAUAACAUUAGUUAUAUCUGCAAAGUUCCUUUGCCACAUUAUAACAUAACAUAUUCAGUUCCAGGGUUGAAGGCAUGGUCAUCUUCCUUUGACAAGAGGGAGUGGAUUCUUGCUCCACCAGUAAAGUAAUUGAGAUGGAUAAUUUACUGGAUAAACUUUAAGAUUAGAGAAGGCCUGAUAUGAUAACAGAGUAUACAAAUUAGAAUUAUUCAUUGUUUUAGUAUGAAUUGUGAGUCCAUUGUUAAUUGUAUGUAUUAGAUAUAGUUUAUCC